ensembl:lncRNA
GUUCAGCAGUCUAAUGACUUGGGGGUAGAAGCUGUUCAGCAGUCUGAUGGCUUGGAGGUAGAAGCUGUUCAGCAGUCUAAUGACUUGGGGGUAGAAGCUGUUCAGCAGUCUAAUGACUUGGGGGUAGAAGCUGUUCAGCAGUCUGAUGGCUUGGAGGUAGAAGCUGUUCAGCAGUCUAAUGACUUGGGGGUAGAAGCUGUUCAGCAGUCUAAUGACUUGGGGGUAGAAGCUGUUCAGCAGUCUGAUGGCUUGGGGGUAGAAGCUGUUCAGCAGUCUGAUGACUUGGGGGUAGAAGCUGUUCAGCAGUCUAAUGACUUGGGGGUAGAAGAUGUUCAGCAGUCUAAUGACUUGGGGGUAGAAGAUGUUCAGCAGUCUAAUGACUUGGGGGUAGAAGCUGUUCAGCAGUCUAAUGACUUGGGGGUAGAAGAUGUUCAGCAGUCUAAUGACUUGGGGGUAGAAGCUGUUCAGCAGUCUAAUGACUUGGGGGUAGAAGCUGUUCAGCAGUCUGAUGGCUUGGAGGUAGAAGCUGUUCAGCAGUCUAAUGACUUGGGGGUAGAAGCUGUUCAGCAGUCUAAUGACUUGGGGGUAGAAGCUGUUCAGCAGUCUGAUGGCUUGGAGGUAGAAGCUGUUCAGCAGUCUAAUGACUUGGGGGUAGAAGCUGUUCAGCAGUCUAAUGACUUGGGGGUAGAAGCUGUUCAGCA